AAAAGAAAAGAAANGAUCUUCUGAAGAAUAUGACUGUAAAAUUGAGCCUGCAAAGCUGGAAAUGUUUAGGAAUGGGUAGUCUCCUUUUCCCAUUCUCCAGGGAAAAACCCAACUGAAAUAAAAGAAGUUACUUAAUUUUUCAUCUCCACUUACUAUCCCAGGUUUUCAAAUGGAAAGAACAUAGCAAAUUCUGAAGAAUUCGAAAUCCAUGAAACAUAGUAGAAAAUAAUGGCAUUCCCUAUGACUUGAAAUCCACACAAUUUAUUUUAAAAAAUGUUGCUCUCUGAGACAAAAACAAACGAUUCUUUCUUGUUGGUUUCAGGUUUUAUUUCAUCCAACCAGAAUAAAUUCCCUGAAAAGUUUUAGGAUCAAUAAAAUAACAUAAAAUGGCAAUCAUGAGCAAAGGAGAGAAAAGAGAGAAAAGAGAGAAAAGAGAGAAAAGAGAGAAAAGAGAGAAAAGAGAGAAAAGAGAAAAGAGUUCUAUUAUCUCUUUUCACAGACCUCUAAACACCAGCCACCUUAAAUUUGGACACUGAAGCCUUUGAGGAACCAUACCCAUCAGGACUAUCAGCUUCUUCAUAUUGUUUUCUCACAGCUAAUUUAGGAUAAGCUUGUUUAAAUCUAUUUAUUUGAGUAUAUGUAGAAAUAAUUAGAGUAUAUGUAGAAAUAAUUAAUUAGAACUUAAUGUUAGCAAUGUGUAUUGCCAAUGAAUGUCAAUUUAGUAUUGUUUCCAAGUUUGAAACAGGCCAAAGUUUUCAGUCUUUUAAACACUACUAUCACAGCCAUCUCUCAUUCUCUUAACAUAGAUGUAUUUAUUUGCAUAGAUAUACAUACAUAUGUAUAAUCACUUGCAAUAAGUUGAAGAAAACUGUGAUUAUGAAUCAUGUUAGUAAACAUUGCAUAGAAAAAGGGUGGUUUAGAUUGAGUUUAAAAUUCUACAAAAUAUGUAGCUUCUGGUUAACUAGAAACACAUGCAAAACAUGUGCUUGAGUAAGACUGCAGAGGUAAACUGCAGGAAUGGUGCAUUUUCCAAGACACUAUGCCUCCAGUCCUUGACAGAUCAAAAGAAUACUGAUGUGAUACAAAUCUUUGUACACCAGCAGAAAUUAUAUAAAUAAACAAUAUGAAUAUAACUUCUGUUUUAAAUUUGCUUGAGUAAGACAUUGGACUAGGAAAUCCAAAAAGAGGCAACCCCAACAGAAAUCUACUGAACCAUUGCUGUUUUAAUAUGACUCCUUUUGACAAAACCAGUCUUGUUCUUUAAUUAGGUGCAUUAUUGUGAACAGAAAACUAAUCUAUGAAUUAUAAAGAAUAAUCUUAUUGUGGACUAAAUGCGACUGUUCAUAACUUAAAUAAUCUUCUUACCAAACAGAUGGAUUUCUAAUGAUUACAUUGACUUUGGGUUUGUACCUUUUGGUUUAGAAAGAAGGUGAAUAUGAACUAUUAAAGGUCUAGAAUAUUAGAGGGCUCCUUGUAAAGAAGCUGUUCCUUCUGUCAUUAUAUGUUGUCUAAUUUACAUAAAUAUUUAAAAUAUAUGACUAUUUGUCAUACAAUGUUCUCUGUAGUGUAUUAUAUUGUUUUUCUUUACAGUUAAUGCCACAGCAGGCUGUUUUUAAAUGUUACUGAUUUCUCUUAGCUAUAGUAUAGAAAAAAAAGUAACUUUGCAAAUAUCUAGGAAAAUGCAGCCCAGCUUCAAUGAACUGUAGGUUUUUCUGUAAAUAAAUAAGUAUCAAUCACCUAAUGAUAGAAUUAAGUAAAGUUUGUUUGAAAAAACUAAAAAAAAAAAAAAUUAAACUGCUUAAAAUUUUACAUAGUAAAUUCAUUAAUAUAGUCAACAAGACUCUUAUGCAAAGUUUUAUUUAAGUAUAGUUUGGAAGAAGGGAAAAUUAUGCUGUUGAUUGAAAACAGACAAUUCAAAGCUCUUAAUAUAUUAUUAACCAAUUAAGUCUGAUUUACAUGGAAAAUGCUCUUGUAUAAGAUCAAUAUGAUUGUGCCCACACAAUCAUGGUAUUCGUUCUGAGAUUUCACUGUCUACUUAUCAGAUAAUUCAAAUCAAGCCACUGAGCUAUAGAUGUUGGCACGAACUACUGCUAUAUCUCAUUUAUAUUUUCUCUCUAGAGUAAGAGAAAACCUUACUUUAACUCCAGAAAUGAGACAUCAAAAAGUGCCAAUAUUAGGGUCAAAGAAGUCUCUGAGUUGUGAAUUGCACAAGCUGUUCUUGUGCUUUUCCCUAUGUAUACAUCUUUGACCAAAGCCACAGUUAAGGCAUUGGGACAUCUCUGUUCUGAUACUUCUUUUCUACUUUUUUUUGACAGCUAAUAUCUCUUGACCUGCAAAAAAAUAUGUGUCUUAUCUUUUUUGUGGGAUUUAGCGCGUUCUAAUAAAGAAAUAUUUGCAGGUUGUUUGGGUAUUUUUAUUGUUAUAUACAAACAUUUACUUGAAAAGUUUAGAUAAUUAUUGUACAAGUGUUUGCAAACUCAGAAAAUCAGUCAUAAUUUGAGGAUUGCUUCCAAAGAAGUGAAAACAAAUAAACAAACAAAGGAAACAAGUAGAGGUUAUUUCAUGGCUGACAAAGUGUUCACUUUGUAAAAUGUCAUCAUAUUGAUAAGAAUAUGUUUCCUCUGAGUGUGUUAUGCUUUUCCACAAUAUGAAUGAUCUUGUCAGAACAUGAAGCAUAUGCAGCUGUCAAAAUGUUACAGGCUAGCCACAUAAGCUUGACUUGUUUAUGAAAUCCAAGCCUUAUUUAGUUCUCUAUAGAUAAAAAGAGUAAAAAAGUUUCAAAAAUAUCAUUAUUUUGUGUGAUAUUAUCACUCUUGUUGUACAAAAUAGAAGAAUUCAGUUUGCCUUCCAAAAGGUCAAGAAUAAAUGCAAUUCUAAAACCAUGUUGUUCUGAUGCUCUUCUGCAAUUAUAAAUGAAAAUUUAUAUUUUCUAAGUUGCAUAAUCAUAAAACGUCACUACCUAACAACAACAAUAAAAAAUAAUGG